UUUUCGUGAUUUGUGCUAUA
rnacentral:siRNA from 1 species